AUUGAACGCUGGCGGCAGGCCUAACACAUACAAGUCGAACGAGUGCCGGACGGGUGAGUAAUGUCUGGGAAACUGCCUGAUGGAGGGGGAUAACUAAUGGAAACGGUAGCUAAUACCGCAUACCAUCGGAUUUGCCCAGAUGGGAUUAGCUAGUAGGGGGGGUAAAGGCUCACCUAGGCGACGCUCCCUAGCUGGUCUGAGAGGAUGACCAGCCACACGGGAACUGAGACACGGUCCAGACUCCUACGGGAGGCAGCAGUGGGGAAUAUUGCACAAUGGGCGAAAGCCUGAUCCAGCCAUGCCGCGUGUGUGAAGAAGGUCUUCGGAUUGUAAAGCACUUUAAGUUGGGAGGCGUUACCAACAGAAUAAGCACCGGCUAACUUCGUGCCAGCAGCCGCGGUAAUAC
rnacentral:rRNA from 1 species